rnacentral:rRNA from 1 species
UACGUAGGGGGCUAGCGUUGUCCGGAUUUAUUGGGCGUAAAGAGCUCGUAGGUGGUUCGGUAAGUCGGAUGUGAAAUCUCCAGGCUCAACCUGGAGGGGUCAUUCGAUACUGCCGUGACUAGAGUUCGGUAGAGGAGUGUGGAAUUCCAGGUGUAGCGGUGAAAUGCGUAGAUAUCUGGAGGAACACCGGUGGCGAAGGCGGCAUCCUGGACCGGUAUUGACGCUGAGGAGCGAAAGCCAGGGGAGCAAACGGG